UAGGGAAUCUUCGGCAAUGGACGGAAGUCUGACCGAGCAACGCCGCGUGAGUGAAGAAGGUUUUCGGAUCGUAAAGCUCUGUUGUUAGAGAAGAACGUUGGUAGGAGUGGAAAAUCUACCAAGUGACGGUAACUAACCAGAAAGGGACGGCUAACUACGUGCCAGCAGCCGCGGUAAUACGUAGGUCCCGAGCGUUUUCCGGAUUUAUUGGGCGUAAAGCGAGCGCAGGCGGUUCUUUAAGUCUGAAGUUAAAGGCAGUGGCUUAACCAUUAUACGCUUUGGAAACUGGAGGACUUGAGUGCAGAAGGGGAGAGUGGAAUUCCAUGUGUAGCGGUGAAAUGCGUAGAUAUAUGGAGGAACACCGGUGGCGAAAGCGGCUCUCUGGUCUGUAACUGACGCUGAGGCUCGAAAGCGUGGGGAGCAAACAGG
rnacentral:rRNA from 1 species